rnacentral:rRNA from 1 species
AUUGAACGCUGGCGGCAGGCCUAACACAUGCAAGUCGAGCGGAUGAAGGGAGCUUGCUCCUGGAUUCAGCGGCGGGCGGGUGAGUAAUGCCUAGGAAUCUGCCUGGUAGUGGGGGAUAACGUCCGGAAACGGGCGCUAAUACCGCAUACGUCCUGAGGGAGAAAGUGGGGGAUCUUCGGACCUCACGCUAUCAGAUGAGCCUAGGUCGGAUUAGCUAGUUGGUGGGGUAAAGGCCUACCAAGGCGACGAUCCGUAACUGGUCUGAGAGGAUGAUCAGUCACACUGGAACUGAGACACGGUCCAGACUCCUACGGGAGGCAGCAGUGGGGAAUAUUGGACAAUGGGCAAAAGCCUGAUCCAGCCAUGCCGCGUGUGUGAAGAAGGUCUUCGGAUUGUAAAGCACUUUAAGUUGGGAGGAAGGGCAGUAAGUUAAUACCUUGCUGUUUUGACGUUACCAACAGAAUAAGCACCGGCUAACUUCGUG